ensembl:lncRNA TTN-AS1 TTN antisense RNA 1
UUGUAAUUGCAGUGGAAGGGGAGACCAAACAUUCAAAGAUUGCUGAAGAGCCAACGAACUCUGAUUCUGUCAAGAUGAUGUCUUUGAUUUCUUUCACAAACUUCAGUGGCACAGCCUUUAGCUGAUGGUAUUGCCUCUGAAUUUGCUGAUUCAGAAGAUGUCGGACUCAUGUUAUCCUAUAGAAGAUGUAACAACCCAUAUACAUUUAUGAAAAUCAGGAACUACAUUAUUAUAAUGAUGAAGGAAAAGCCCAAGAAAUCAACCAACCUGAAACCUGCAAUGAAGCUGUGCAGCUGUCUUUGCCAACAGGGUUCUGCACCUCAAAACUGUAUACCCCACUGUCACUCGGUGCUACAUUGAUGAUCUUAAGGCCGGAUACUUUGUUGAAGAAGCUUAUUUUGUAUUUGUUGUCACUUGUUAGCUCUUUUCCAUCCUUAAACCACUUAGUACUGAGUUCAGGGGUGCCAGCUACUGUACACUCCAAGGUACAGGUGUCUCCCGUGGUAACUUUUAUGGAUUCUGGCUUUUCUACAAUUGUUGCAGGCUCUGGAAUGAAAUGUAAAAGAUAUCCAUAUUUUAAACUCAAAUUGAAAAACUAAAGAAAAUACA